GGAAGCUAUUUGCAAUGUAUUUAUGAAGUAUUCCCACAUAAUGAAGAGCUGGAUUCUCUUAUGAAAAGGGUAUCUCGACAAGUCCGAGGAAAUUUCACAGAUGAGGGAAAUAAGCAAGUGUGUGAAUUUGUUCAGAGGGGCUUUGACCGUCAUUUCUACUUCAAUCCCAGUCCACUGAACAGCACGUAGGAUAAUGCAUGUUGUAUUUAGCCAGUUAUAUUAAAAUUUUAUACUUAAUAAUGUGUUGUCUGGAGGUGGUGCUUCCCCCACUAAUACAUACAUAGAAAUAUUUUUUUGUGCUUCCAUACUUACAAAGUACAUAGAGGCUCCAUGCUUAUAAGCUUGCCAGAUCUGAAAAUGUGUUAUAUUGGCAUAUGAAUAAUUUUCAUAAAGGUAUUAUUGUAUUUGUGAAUUAAUGUUAAGUCAUUUAACAAAUUCACAGUAUCUUUUUGGUUCAUCUUGGAUUAGGUCAACUGCUUGCUUAAAUAGUAUGUGUGUGUGUGUGUGUGUACUGUGUCAUAGGCUUGCAUAUUUUUGUAUGAUCUUAGAAACUUGCGAAUUACCAGUCUGUGAUUAUAUGUAAUACGUAGAUGCUCAAGUCCUUUACUCUUAAGUCCAAAUUAAAAAGUUAUUUCUUCUAUAUGUAAGUCUUAAGAAAGUGAUUUGUGUUUGUAGAUGCAUGUAUCCUGGUUGUAUUAAUAUCUAAUUAGUUUA